GCCCGCAAAACUCGGUCAAUGGACAAGAAAGACCGCUACUAGUUUUGAUUUUAGAUAAGAUUUGUUUUCUUUUUUGCUUGAUAAUAAACUCUCAACUUCCUUUUUGUCAUUGAAAUGAGGUAAGAUCUUUGAAUCAGAUCUUCUUUUCCUUGUUGAAUUACAUUCAAAAUAUAUUUUCGAUUUUCUACCUAAUAAAGAUAUCUUUUAGC
rnacentral:lncRNA from 1 species